rnacentral:rRNA from 1 species
AUUGAACGCUGGCGGCAGGCCUAACACAUGCAAAUCGAACGGUAACAGGAAGAAGCUUGCUUCUUUGCUGACGAGUGGCGGACGGGUGAGUAAUGUCUGGGAAACUGCCUGAUGGAGGGGGAUAACUACUGGAAACGGUAGCUAAUACCGCAUAACGUCGCAAGACCAAAGAGGGGGACCUUCGGGCCUCUUGCCAUCGGAUGUGCCCAGAUGGGAUUAGCUAGUAGGUGGGGUAACGGCUCACCUAGGCGACGAUCCCUAGCUGGUCUGAGAGGAUGACCAGCCACACUGGAACUGAGACACGGUCCAGACUCCUACGGGAGGCAGCAGUGGGGAAUAUUGCACAAUGGGCGCAAGCCUGAUGCAGCCAUGCCGGGUGUAUGAAGAAGGCCUUCGGGUUGUAAAGUACUUUCAGCGGGGAGGAAGGGAGUAAAGUUAAUACCUUUGCUCAUUGACGUUACCCGCAGAAGAAGCACCGGCUAACUCCGU